rnacentral:rRNA from 1 species
GAUGAACGCUAGCUACAGGCUUAACACAUGCCAGUCGAGGGACCGGCGCACGGGUGAAUAACACGUAUCCACCCUGCCCUUUACACGGGGAUAGCCUUUCGAAAGAAAGAUUAAUACACUAUCUCAAGGAUGGGGAUGCGUUCCAUUAGGUUGUUGGUGAGGUAACGGCCCACCAAGCCUUCGAUGGAUAGGGGUUCUGAGAGGAAUGUCCCCCACAUUGGAACUGAGACACGGUCCAAACGCCGACGGGAGGCAGCAGGGAGGAAUAUUGGUCAAUGGGCGUGAGACUGAACCAGCCAAGUAGCGUGAAGGAGGAAGGCUUAUGGGUCGUAAAGCACUUUCAGCGGGGAGGAUUGACGUACCCAAGAAGCACCGGCUAACUCCGUGCCAGCAGCCGCGGUAAUAC